rnacentral:tRNA from 1 species
UAAGAAUUAGUUAAAUUCAUAACAUAAAUAUGUCAAAUUUAAAUUAUUAAUAAAUAAUAUUCUUAU